rnacentral:rRNA from 1 species
GGUAUGCUUAACACAUGCAAGUCGAACGCAGUCUUUCGGGACUGAGUGGCGGACGGGUGAGUAACACGUGAGAAUCUGGCUUCAGGAUGGGGAUAACAGUGGGAAACCACCGCUAAUACCCGAUGUGCCGCGAGGUGAAAGAUUUAUCGCCUGGAGAUGAGCUCGCGACUGAUUAGCUAGUUGGUGGGGUAAGAGCCUACCAAGGCAACGAUCAGUAGCUGGUCUGAGAGGAUGACCAGCCACACUGGGACUGAGACACGGCCCAGACUCCUACGGGAGGCAGCAGUGGGGAAUUUUCCGCAAUGGGCGCAAGCCUGACGGAGCAAUACCGCGUGGGGGAGGAAGGCCUUUGGGUUGUAAACCCCUUUUAUCAAGGAAGAAUACUGACGGUACUUGAUGAAUCAGCCUCGGCUAACUCCGUGC